UCUCGUGUGGAGCUAAAAUACCUUUCUUUUUCCGUUUACGUGAUAUCUUCUUCUCCCCGUGAGCUUGCCUCUGCGAAAAAUUCAUUGUUCUUCGGUUUAUGUUUGUUGGGUCGAAGAACGAUGAUUGAGAAAUAGGGCUUGAUUCUGGGGUGAAAUUUGGUUUUUUUUGCAAGUCAGCUAGGAAAAGCAUGGAUAGAAUGAUUCAACCUCCAUUGGUUGAUACAACAGCUUGUUUUGAUCAAUAGAAAUGCCAGUCCCUCAUCUAGAAGUUAUGGAGGUAAUGCUGGAUACGGUGGUGGUAACUAUGGAGGCCAAGGAAAUUAUGGUGGUUUUGAUCAAUCUGCUGCAACCAAUUUCGAUGGUGGGAAUUUCAAUGCUGCUGCUGGUGACGUUGCCACCGGAGGUCCUGCUGGAUAUGGAAGCCAGAAUAUGGGAUUUGAUGGUAGUGAUCAAUUCGGUAGUGCUGAAGAUGGCUUCAAGGAGGGAGGAGAAGCAUUCGACUCAAACGAACCAAUAGAAGUGAUUUCGCCAAAAGGGCAUGAAGCAAGUCUGUGUCAAGUAGCAGUAAAUUGUUUGGUUAUUUAGUUAUGGUCGUUACUUUCUGGGAAACUAAUUUUUAUGUGAUUUGAGUUCGAAUAAAUUUAAUUUCUUACUUA